CAGCCGCCGCGGUAAUACCGGCGGCCCGAGUGGCGGUCACUCUUAUUGGGCUUAAAGCGUCCGUAGCCGGGUUGGGAAGGCCUCCGGGAAAUCUGGCCGCUUAACGGUCAGAAUGCCGGAGGAUACUCCCAGCCUAGGGAGCGGGAGAGGCCGAGGGUAUUCCCGGGGUAGGGGUGAAAUCCUAUAAUCCCGGGAGGACCACCUGUGGCGAAGGCGCUCGGCUGGAACGCGUCCGACGGUGAGGGACGAAGGCCAGGGGAGCAAACCGGAUUAGAUACCCGGGUAGUCCUGGCGGUAAACGAUGCGGACUUUGUGUCGGACAAGCUAUGAGCUUGUCCGGUGCCGGAGGGAAACCGUUAAGUCCGCCGCCUGGGGAGUACGGCCGCAAGGCUGAAACUUAAAGGAAUUGGCGGG
rnacentral:rRNA from 1 species